UAACGAAUAUUCCGCAAUGGGCGAAAGCCUGACGGAGCGACGCCGCGUGUGGGAUGAAGCCCUUCGGGGUGUAAACCACUGUCAGGGAUUACCAAGCAAGGGAGCCUAAUACGCUCCUGCGUUGAGGCGUCCCAGAGGAAGCCACGGCUAACUUCGUGCCAGCAGCCGCGGUAAUACGAAGGUGGCAAGCGUUGUUCGGAAUCACUGGGCUUAAAGAGCACGUAGGCGGCCUCAUAAGCGCUUUGUGAAAUCCCUCGGCUCAACCGGGGAAUUGCUGGGCGAACUGUGAGGCUUGAGGCAAGUAGGGGUGCAUGGAACUCUUGGUGGAGCGGUGAAAUGCGUAGAUAUCAAGAGGAACGCCGGUGGCGAAAGCGGUGCACUGGGCUUGUCCUGACGCUGAGGUGCGAAGCUAGGGGAGCAAACGGGAUAGAUACCCGGUAGUCCUAGCCCUAAACGAUGAGAACUGGGUGUAGGGGGUA
rnacentral:rRNA from 1 species